UUUCUCCUGGUUAAGAGUGUUUAAAACAUCAUGAGAUCAAAGCUGUAGUCCACCAGCACAGAAGUUAUGUAUCAUACACUAAUAAAGUUAUGUGUCCUAGGACAUGGCACAAAAGUGUUUGUUUGUUUAAAGCUUGGCAUAAGUGUUAAAGAGCCAAAUUUACUGAAUUUUACUAGAAUUUAUUUUUCCUGUCUUGAGAGGCCUUCAGAAUGAACAGUCCCCCAAAACCAUGGCUGGGUUUUGUCUCACAGAGACCAGUUAGUAUACUUUAAAAGCAAGUCAGGGAGUGAAUUCUUACUUCAGGAUCUCAGCUCAUUUAGCACUGAACAUGUAUUCUGUGCAGUUUUCUAUAUGGAUGGGCAAAACAAUUAAAUUGAAGUGGUAAGAAGGAAUCCUCCUUGUCCAGUUAACCCCUUAAUUAAAGCCAAGCAGCACUUAGAUCAAAAUUACUUCUAAAGGUGGUGAAUGUAUGCAUUGUUUCAGAGCUAAGGAAAUGACUUAGGGAUAGUGAGAGAAGUAAAUCUUAACACUCUUUCAGAGGUAUAUCAGAUCAAGUUGUAUGGACAGCAUGGAUAUUUAUGAACACAAUACAUUCAAAGAGAGAUUAGAUACCACUGUGCAAUGCAAAUGGGUGAAAGAUGAAUAACAGUAUGUCAUGUGAAACUGUCCAAUGAAACCACAAAUAUAAAUACUAAACUUUGCCCAGACAAGCAACAUCUCUGUUGUGAACAAGUUAUUACUUCUCCAAAUACCAUUUACCAAAGUCUAACUGCAGUAAUCAAAUAUUUGGUUUGAACGUGCAUCUUAAAUGUUGCCUCAGCUCAGCUAUUCCAGUAGCUCUAUCUGGAACAAAACCACUGUAGCUGAGAAUUCUUAGGGAGGGACUUCAUGUAUUUGCACAAAGCAGUGAGGCUAAUGACCUGAUGAGGACUGCUGGUGGGUGAUGACAGUUUAAGUGAUCCCUAUAGUUCUGCUCAGUUGCACUGUUCAGAAUACACAAAAUCUAACUUGAUUCAGAAAGUAACUACAGCAAACAUCAAGAGAAAGAUCAAGGACAACAUAAGUAACAAGUCAGAGAUCCAAGAAGUGUUGUACAACUGCUCUCUGUUAUCACUUUCUCAGAGUUCACUCCUGGUGCUAUGUGCGCUCAUGAUCCUCAGCAGGUCUUCAGGCAUUGUGCUCAGACUUGCCAUUGUGGCCAUGAGAACUCCUCAGCUGCAGAAGACAAAGGCAUGCUGCCCACACAAUACACGGUUCCAGCAGCUGUGCCUUCCAUUGACUCAAGCUGGAAGAAAUGUAGAUCGAAUACCAACAAUAACAGAUCAAUGUUGUAAAUAUUAGCAUGAGAAAGAGUGCACCAAACUCCGAGUGUGUCUUUUUUGUCUGGUUGUAAUAAAGUUUCUCAAGAAUUUUGCACAUGGGGACAAGAGUGUGUAUGCACACGUAUUCUAAGCGCCUCAGAAACAGGCAGCAGCAUGUUUUCUUGUACAAAUAUUGACAAGAAUCCUUCAGUUUAUUUGGAAUUUUCCUAAGAAAGCUGCAACAAUACAGUAAUACCUCUUUGCUACUUUCCACACAGUUGUUUCAACUGCUCGCACCAGGAAAUCCUUUUUGUUUUAAUCAACACCACUUGGAGUGAUGACGUUUCCUUUUUUCUUUUAGUGACAGACAUGGUGCAUUUUCUUGCACAAAGUUCUCAUGAGAGACUUUUGUGCAUGUAUAUCCAACUGCAAAUGUGUAUUUGUGAGGUAGCUGAAAGAGUUCACUAUAUUUUCUUCUUCUAUUUUUCAUCCC